GCGCGCGGAGGCCCGGGGUGCGGGGGCAGGGCGCGGCUGCCGUGGGGCCUACCGGCCCGAGGCCUACCGGCGCCCCCCCCUCCCGCCGCACACCCCCACCUGGCCCGCGCAGGCCGCUCCGCUCGCCCCACUCCGGCUCCGGCUGGACCCCUGCCCGCCCGCCGUCGCCGCCCGCGGGCGCCCCGGAGGCCCUCAGGCCCCCGGCCUCCACCACCCGGGCGCCGGCCCCACUCACCCUUUCAUUCUCCGCCCGGGGCCUGGCGUGGGCCGGCGAAUCCCCGGCCUCACAUCAGAGUGAGAGGCGCUGGCAAUGGACUAGGAAGCUCGGCUGCCGCUGCUACUGCUCCCCCCUGGGCUCCGGCGAGAGCCUUUCCCUGUCAAGCAAGAGGGGUGAGGAUCAUAUUUUUAUUUUGGAAACUAAAAAGUGCUCCCAGGGUCGGUGAUUAUUAAGGGGAAAUCCCUGAAUAUACUCUCCAGCCAAGAAGGCAGGGCUGCCGGGGCUGUACAAGAAGAGGCAGCAGCCUCCUACAGCACCACUACAGGCACUGCGAGGACAUAACACCAGAGAGCUGCUCCUCUGCCCUCCGAAACGACAACUUUCCUACCAUCUUGGAGGCAGAGCAAAGGGGGGCCAGGGGGAAAAGUGCACCCGCUCCCGAUAAAGUACAAAUUUUUACUUCUCAUCUCUGGAAAAAAGUCCACACCGGCCGUCUACACCCGCGCCUGGGGGAGAAAGCAGGGAAGAAACGGGGGGUGCAUGAGAAACGUUUUCAUUUGCUCCAGGGGGAAAAAUGUUUCUGCAUCUUCUGAUGGAAAGAAAUCUUUACAAGACACAGGUUUUCCGGUGGUUAUUGUUUUUUAUUUUCUGUUUUUAAUUUUUUUCAUGUUAGUGACAGUGAUAUUUUAAUAUUUUUUUAAGCCAGUAAUAAUUUUUCUCCAUUACAGGGCUAAGUUCUGUGGCUGGUGGUCAGUUUGUAAAUUUAUACUUAAAGAGACUUAAUAGUAACUUCAUUUAUUUGUCUGGUUAUGUUAUUGUAUAUAUAAAUAUUUAUGUUUUCAUAUAUUGCAUAUAAAAAUUUGUGUUACAUGUUACUCUCAGAACAGAUUGCUGUAAGACAAUUGUAAAAAAACAUGUCUUUCGUCUGUUUCUCAAAGCAAUGUAAAUAAAACCUAUGGACUGUCCAGAAAGGCA
rnacentral:lncRNA from 1 species